rnacentral:rRNA from 1 species
UACAGAGGUCCCGAGCGUUGUUCGGAUUCACUGGGCGUAAAGGGUGCGUAGGCGGUCGGGUAAGUCUGAUGUGAAAUCUCACAGCUUAACUGUGAAACUGCAUUGGAUACUAUCCGGCUAGAGGAAUGGAGGGGAGACUGGAAUACUUGGUGUAGCAGUGAAAUGCGUAGAUAUCAGGAAGAACACCCGUGGCGAAGGCGGCUCUCUGGGACGGUACUGACGCUGAGACGCGAAAGCGUGGGGAGCGAACAGG